UACGAAGGGGGGCUAGCGUUGCUCGGAAUCACUGGGCGUAAAGGGUGCGUAGGCGGGUCUUUAAGUCAGGGGUGAAAUCCUGGAGCUCAACUCCAGAACUGCCUUUGAUACUGAGGAUCUUGAGUUCGGAAGAGGUGAGUGGAACUGCGAGUGUAGAGGUGAAAUUCGUAGAUAUUCGCAAGAACACCAGUGGCGAAGGCGGCUCACUGGCCCGGUACUGACGCUGAGGUGCGAAAGCUAGGGGAGCAAACGGG
rnacentral:rRNA from 1 species